rnacentral:rRNA from 1 species
GAUGAACGCUAGCUACAGGCUUAACACAUGCAAGUCGAGGGGAAACGACAUUGAAGCUUGCUUCGAUGGUCGUCGACCGGCGCACGGGUGAGUAACGCGUAUCCAACCUGCCUCUGACCAAGGGAUAACCCGUCGAAAGUCGGCCUAAUACCUUAUGCAGUCGUCGGAAGUCAUCUGAUGACGACGAAAGAUUUCAUCGGUGAGAGAUGGGGAUGCGUCUGAUUAGCUUGUUGGCGGGGUAACGGCCCACCAAGGCAACGAUCAGUAGGGGUUCUGAGAGGAAGGUCCCCCACAUUGGAACUGGGACACGGUCCAAACUCCUACGGGAGGCAGCAGUGAGGGAUAUUGGUCAAUGGGCGAGAGCCUGAACCAGCCAAGUAGCGUGCAGGAUGACGGCCCUAUGGGUUGUAAACUGCUUUUAUGCGGGGAUAAAGUGAGGGACGUGUCCUUCAUUGCAGGUACCGCAUGAAUAAGGACCGGCUAAUUCCGUG